GAAAUAUUUGGAUUUCUAUGCAAACUUUUAGAAUUGAACUAAUUUCUUGAUGUGAAUAGUUCCAGUGCCUUGCAUUACUUCUGAAGUCUAAAUCUUUUGUUCUGUGCAUCCAGGAAGUAUUGGCUACACUGAAGUGCCUGCUAUGCUCUGAGUUUGCUCCUUCGACUGCUUUUAUCACACUUGAAUUUGCAAUGAUGCUUGCAUCAUGGGCUGAAAUUCUAUUCUCUUGCCUCCUAUCAUCCUUUCUCCUCUUUCUGCAACCCCUUCAGCCUCAGACACAGCCUGAUAGAUGUAGCACUUCACUUUGGUGCACCACUUUUUAAACUAUCUCUUCCCAGGAGUCUUGGAAUUCAUUCUUAUUCUUCAUCGUCAGGGGGGAUUCCCAGCUCUUCAUCUGCCCACUUAGAAGGAUCUGGAUAAGGAAAGUGGCCCAGCACAACAUCAGGAUCAUGCCAGAAUUUCCACAGGAUCCAGAACCACAUUAGAGCCACGGGUUCCUUAACAUGACUUUAUUGAGCUCACAAUACGUUGUGUUCCAAGACAUAGAAUAGCCGUCAUGUUCACCAGUGCAAUGCUUAUGUCAAUAUUCAAGUUGUAAAAAGAACAGACAUGGUUUUUGAAUUAUCUCCUUGUGAAGAAUAGUCAGUAUAGUGCAGAAAUUGACUCUUAAGAGUGCAUGGAAUAGAGAUCAUGAUGAAAAUGAUUAUUUAUGACUUACAUGAGGUCAUUGCUCUCCAUCGUACAGGCUUCUGAGGAAGCAGUUAUGCAAGAAGCUCAUUUAGAGAAAUCAAGAUAGAUUGCAUUUCAUUCCGUGUCAUGUCCUUUGUGGUUGAUGGCCACAAUGCACAGGGACAGUCAUUAUUCCUGCUUACCCAGAAGCACCAUGGCAGCUCUGCUAAAGAAAACAGAUAUUUGUACAUAAUAACUUGUCCCCGACUCAUGUAGCUUCUAAUGGAGGAGAGGGUGGAAGGGCGAAGUAUACAGAUGGAGUAGGUACAUGAUAGGAUGCUUCUGAGCUAAUGAGGCACGCUCAUCAUAAUUUGCAAAUGACAGUUUACUCUCCAGUUCUUGGUAUUUAACUUAGAAAUCAUUGACUGGCUCUCAUUUUGCAGGAGGGAAUCAAAUUAUUGUUGUUAUUAGUCAUUAGGCAUUAUUAUGUGCUUAUUAGGUAUUAGUAUAGUGUUGUAGGAAUGUAAAUGCUAAUAGAGUCCAGUCGUGCAACAACUGUGUAUUUCAUGUCUGUUUACUGAUCAUUACUUUCUAGCUUUCACUUACUGGAUCAUUACAGUAUAUAUAUCAUUAUACUGUAGUUAUUUUGAAUAAAAAGCAGUCUUUGUGAAGGAAUUAAAUUAAAUGACCUUGGAAUUGUUUUGUUCAUAAGCUGAGUCAAAUUUCCCUAGUGGGAAAUCAUGACAAACGCUGGCCAGCGCUGCUCUCCAAUUUGGGAAUUCUAUUUCCAGAGAGGAGAGAGCUAUAGAAGGGUCUUACAUGUUAGCAUAUGUGACAUAUGAACAGGAGCCAUGUCUAUUUAAGAUUAAAGUUUUAAUACAUUUUUAUGUUAUUAAUGUAAAAGAUUUUAACAUCAAAAUUGUGUAUUUUUUAUUUUUUAAUUCUUAUAUUUUUAUACAUUUGCAUAUGGGCUAAGGGGAGCAUCUUUGGGGACAUGCCUUGAGUCACGUAGGCAUCUAGAAUUUGAGUAUAUAAAGGAGGAAUUUCUUUGUCCUCUCUCUGGAAGCACACACGAGGCUUUUACACAAUCUUCUACCAUGCUCUUUGGAGAGAGAUGUAGUUCCUGAUAAAGAUAGGCCUGCAUGAUUUAUUGCUGUAUCCUGAACUAUAUUUGGAACUAAGAUGUUUUUACCUGUAUGACCUACCUCAUACAUGCUUGUGAGUAAAUACUUUUGCUAUUUUGA